UACGUAGGGGGCAAGCGUUGUCCGGAAUCAUUGGGCGUAAAGAGCGUGUAGGCGGCUCGAUAAGUCUGCUGUGAAAGUCCAGGGCUCAACCCUGGAAGGCCGGUGGAAACUGUCGGGCUAGAGUCCGGAAGAGGCGAGUGGAAUUCCCGGUGUAGCGGUGAAAUGCGCAGAUAUCGAGAGGAACACCGGUGGCGAAGGCGGCCAACUGGACGAAGACUGACGCUGAGACACGAAAGCGUGGGGAGCAAACAGG
rnacentral:rRNA from 1 species